rnacentral:rRNA from 1 species
UCGCAGGCUGCAACUCGCCUGCGUGAAGUCGGAAUUGCUAGUAAUCGCGGAUCAGCAUGCCGCGGUGAAUACGUUCCCGGGCCUUGUACACACCGCCCGUCACACCAUGAGAGCUGGGAACACCCGAAGCCCGUAGCCUAACCUGCAAAGGAGGGCGCGGUCGAAGGUGGGCUUAGUAAUUGGGGUGAAGUCGUAACAAGGUAAC